GGCGGGGUAGCGCGCUGGUCUGUUUUUGGGCCACGGGAUGGCGACUCCGGGAAAUCGAGGUCUCGUGCUGGGGCGAAAGGUGUGGCUGCAGGAGCCAAAUCCAAAUGAGCGGACCACGUACUUCAGGGUUUUAACCUGAGCGAAACAGGAAUGUCUUGGGUCUUAACAGGACCGUCCGCCCGCUCGGAAGAGGCGAAAAGCCCACGGCAGACGUCUGGGUGUGCGAAUGUCAGUUGAGCGGGGCCUGGAGGAGGCGUCACACACAGUGAGGAUUUGAGGAGGGAAGCGCCUUCCAGGCAGAACGGUUUCUGGGUUGAGAGAACCCAAAGUUCAGUAAAUGUGAAGAAGAUCUUUCAUAGUAGCCCCCAAAGAAGAGAGAGGAAGCUUGACUUUUCAGAAGGACUCAAGACUCCUGGAUAAUACUGUAUGUGCUGCAAUGACUACCAGUGUGAUCAUACCUCCCCGUCACCACAUCUUUGUGCAUGUCACUCGCACACUGAGUCUGGGCUUGAACGUGUGACUGACUUUGGCCAUACCUUUUUAUGUGAUGCAAGCAGAGAUUUGAAAAUUGUUCUUUGGAACCUUAGACCUCCAUGUGAGAAGCAUGAAGAUGGAGAGACCAUGUGGAGCAGAAAUGAGCUGUCCUAGAUAAGCGCCACCUCAUUCCUAUGACCAACUGGCCGUCCUUAGACCUAGACCAUUGGAUCUUAGCUGAACCAGUCCAGACCUGAAGAACCACUCAGCCAACUGACAGAACUGUGAGAAGUAAAAAGAAGUUUGUUGUUUUAAACUAUUCCACUAAAUUUUGGGAUAGUUUGGUUUUGUAGCAAAAGCAAGUUUACACACUGGGUUGCUUGUCUAUCCCUGACCCAAUCACUAUGCGAGAGGGAUUGGCUCAUUGGAUUAAGCCAGUUAGGACUAUCCUUGAAGGUGGCCUUAGAGUCAAUCCCACUCAAACUGUUUGGCGAAGAACAGGGAGAUUCCCUGAGGAAUCUGUUUCAGGACAGGAGUUUGGUUCCUGAUUGUCUCAUCCUUCAGGCAUGUGCAGGCCUGAGGAA